CAUGUUCACACAAAAUGUGCGGUUUUUAUCGCUUUUCGUUUCAGUUCAAAGGAGACACUUACCAUUUCAAUAAUAUCCAUGGAUGGGCUUCUUAAUGGAUUGCAUUCUAGUUGCAGGUAACGGAGAUCAGUCAUUUUGACAAAGUCAGC
ensembl:ncRNA C14F11.22 ncRNA